GAUAUAAGUUUGGAAUUACUAUUCCACUCUUCUUUCUGUAACAAGUUUGUUCCUAAGUGAGAGCAUAAUUAAUUAAAAUUUAAAUUUUAUUUUAAUAAUAGCAUUAAAUCUAUAAUUAAACUAACUAAUAUAUUUAAAUGAUUAUCUAUUGCUUAAAUAAUAAAGUGAUUAUUUAAUUUAUUACUUAUAAUUAAUUAGCUAAUUAAUUAUUAAUACCUUAAUGUGUUUAUCCAUAAACUAAUAUUUAUACUGAUCAAUCAUUAAUAUUUUUAUUAAUCUAGUUAAUUUUUUUUACUAAUUAUCUAACUAAAAUAAUUUACUAACUAUUUAAAAAUUUACAUUAUUUUUUAUAAUUAAUUAAUUAAUAUAUUUUUAUUAUCUUACAUAAUAUUCAUAUCUAAUAAAUUUAUUAAUUUAUUAAUUUAUUUUAAUUCAUAUUUUGAUGUUAAUUAAUUAAAUAAAAUAUUUUUAAUUUAAAAUAAUAACUUUUUAUUCCUCUUGUUCUAAUCUAACCAUCUAAACAUUAUUUAUCAUAUUCAUAGAAACAAACUCAAUUUUUUUUCAAACGCAAAAUUAGUGAAGUUCCUACUUACAUCUGAACUUAUACCUAUUCUUGAUUAACAGUUCUUAUUUAUACUCGAACCAAACAUGGUCUUGAUAGUGUUUAGUUCGGGAAUAAGGAGAAAAAAUAAGUCCUUAUUCUCUCCCUUUGUUCCCAAAUACUAUUUUCGGUAUCCGAAAAUU
rnacentral:lncRNA from 1 species